UACGUAGGGUGCAAGCGUUGUCCGGAAUUAUUGGGCGUAAAGAGCUCGUAGGCGGUUUGUCGCGUCGAAUGUGAAAACCCGGGGCUCAACUCCGGGCCUGCAUUCGAUACGGGCAGACUAGAGUUCGGUAGGGGAGACUGGAAUUCCUGGUGUAGCGGUGGAAAUGCGCAGAUAUCAGGAGGAACACCGGUGGCGAAGGCGGGUCUCUGGGCCGUAACUGGACGCUGAGGAGCGAAAGCAUGGGGAGCGAACAGG
rnacentral:rRNA from 1 species